GGAGUGACCACAGGGACAGCGGGAGUGACCACAAGGACAGCGGGAGGUGUCCCCAGGGACGCUGCCCCCCCUCGUGCCCUCCGGCCGCUGUCGCCGCCCCUCGGCCGCCGCGGGACCUGCACGGAGGUCGCCUGCUGGAACCACUGGGAGCACUGGGAGCGCCCCUCAGAGCACCACUGGGAGCACUGGGAGCACCACUGGGAGCACUGGGAGGACUGGGAGCACCACUGGGAGGACUG